rnacentral:lncRNA from 1 species
AAUUCUAUAACCUUAUUCAAUAAUGAAUUCUACUUUAAAAAUUCGAAUACUAACAAAAUUAUGCUAAAUGAAAAAAAUAAUCAUAAAUAAACAACAAAUUGAUAAUACAAACAAUUGCAUUGAAUCCAAGAAGUAAAGGUUGAGAAAUGAGAAGAAAAUGAAAAAUAUAAAUAACAUAAAAUAAAGAAUAUAUUUUAACAAAAUACUAGAUAGUAAAAAUAACAAAAAAUUUAAAAUAAUAGAAAUAAAAAAUAAACUGAAACAAAAAAAUAAAAAUAGGAUAAAAGGAUGAAAUUAAGAAGCAAUCAGCUUAUAAUUACACCAUGUAAUUUUACUUGCAAUUCACAACUCCUUCCAGCUCCUCCCUGUGAAUUGGCAAGUAUAAUUAUCCUCUACCAAUUACACCAAAUUACCUACUGACCAAGUAAUUACAUGGCCAACCAAACUUGUCAAACUUUGCAAUUACAUCAAAUUCAGUUUGCAGGAUGACGUUCCAAACAGGGCCUAAGAGAAGAACCAAGUAUAUAUGCACCAUAUUAGAUUAAUUAUUACAAGUCAUAACAAUAUUUUUCAGAUUACAUUACAUAAUAAUAGAUUUUUAACAAAGCUUAAUAAAGUUUAAAAUAUAUUUUUUUAAAACAGAUUAAAAGGAUUGAUAACAAAUCUUUAAUUUUUUCCCUCUCUCAAUUCCUUAAUUAAAGGAUUGAUAACAAAUCAUUAGUUUUCUCCCUAAUUUUUUUCUAUUUUUUUUGCCUUGUAAUUCUUUCAAAUUCUCCACCUAACAAAGUAAAAAAUAUAUAUAUAUGGUAAAAGGAUUUAUAAAAAAUCCUUAAUUUUUCCCUAUUUUAUUUCCUUGAAAUAAUUUUUUUUUUAUAUCAAUUGAUCCUUCCAAAUAAUUUAAUACUAUUGUCUUUUCAUAAAUUUCUCUCAUAUAUUUAGCUUAACUAUUUCAAAUUUUUUUUUUUUUUUGGUGUUAACCCAUAUUUUAGAUUUCUUCCAUCCCAUAAACUUUCCUCAGAUUGUUGAAUUCCACAUUUGCUCCUUAAUAUUUUCAUACACUAAUAUUUUUUCUUUUUUGUUUCUUUGCAAUACAAAUUUAAUGCAUGAAUAAGAUUUUAUACAUUUAACAAUAUGAUUUUCAUGUUUUCAGUCAUGAUUUUUUAAUUAUUUUUUGUAGGAAAUAGCGAAAUCGAUAUAAUGAAUAAUUUUUUAUACGCAGUUAAUACAAAACCAUUGUUUGAAGUUUUUUUGUGAGUUUAUUAAUGAACAAUAUAAUUCGACAAGUAACUAACAACUCCAAAAGAUAUAACAAAUUUUUUUACAAAAUUUAGAACCCAUAAAAUAAAUGUACAUCUAACAAGUUAAGUUUAUCAUAUUUUAGAUACAAUGUAUACAUAAAAUAUGUUUGUAUGUAUUUCUGAUUCUUUUUAAUAGAAUAGGAAAUUCAGUGAACAAACUUCGCAUUCAUGAUACAUAUAAGUUUGUAUACAAAUUUCUUACAUACAAAUAAUAUUUUUUUUUUAAAAAAAAAAAGAAUGAAGAUACACCAAUUUAUAUACAAAUUUCAAAUACCUAGAAAAUAAAAGUAAAUAUAAACAAAUUAAAUAUAUCAUUUUUAUGCACAAUUUAUACACUAAAAUAUAUAUACACUUCAUACAUACUAACAUGUAAAAAUAAUUGAAAAAUGAAGAUUCACCAGUUCUUGUAUACAUUUCGGACCAAAAAAUAAAAACACAAUCAAUAAUUUUUCCUUUUAUUGUCUUUCUUAACAGAAGAUUCGCCUUGGAGUACAAUUUUUUGAACAUCACUUUUCGUAGACGAGGCUUGGAUUUCAAAUUUUGCAACUUCACUUGUUAGAUGAGGUGCCACUUUUUGUGUUGAAAAUUCGUUUCGCAGGAGAUUUGGUAAAACAACCGAAAUACCAUUUGUAGGGGUGCGCGGAUUUAAUAGAUCUAAUAGAUUUAUUAGGUUUCUAGUGAAUCUAUUUUUAUUUGUGCGUGGAUAUUUCUUAAAUUUUGUUUCUAUAUCUUUUAAUGAUUUACUUUUUUCGUAAGAUAUAUUCAUUAAUUAUUUUAUCCUGUAGUAAUUGCAGAGUUACAAAUUUCUGUAUAAUAAUUUAUCCUAUCUGUACUGUAAUGUAUAUCUAAUUCUAGAUUUUCAAUGUUAUUUAUUAUCUUGUGUUGUUCUUCUCGUAGUGAGUUUUUUAAAUUAUAUAAACUAUCACAUGUACUUUUAUCUAAAUUUUCUAAGGUUUUUUCUAUCCAUAUUAAUUUUUCUUUUAGGUUUUCCAUUAUUUUUCUAAUUCGGUUUCUAUAAUUAAUUUCAUUAUUUAGAUUUUCUUGAUUUUCUCUAGUUUUUCUAAUAUAUUCUAACAUCUCUUAAUCUGAAUAAUAUCCUUCUGGGUAAAUUUCUUCGUAUAACUGUUCUAGACAAUUUGUAAUUUCAAUUUCGUAGUCUAUUACUUUAUCUAAUAUUAUUUUCUUAAUAUCUAUAAUUUCUAUGUUUUUAAGUAUAUAUAAGAUUAAAACUUUAAGAUAAUCUAAAUGAUCUAUCUUUUAAAAUUGGUUUUAUUAUAAUAUUUUGUAGUUGUUUGUUUUAGCCUUAGUAGUUUUUGCAUAUUUUUAUUAAGAAAUUCUAUGUAUUUUAUAUCUUUAGUUUCCAUGUAUUUAUCUAUAUUUAUUUUUAUCUGUUUUUCUAGUAACUGUAUGUUUCUUAUAUCUAUUUCUAAAAAUUCCAUGUAACUUAUCAUCGUAAGUAUUUGUAAGAGUAGUUAGGUAGAUAUGGUAUAUAAUUUACUCUAGUCAUGUAAUAUUUACCAAAAGCUUUUUCUAAUAUGAUUUUUCUUAUAUCUGCUACUUUUAUAUCUCUAAGUGCAUACAAAAUAAGUAUUUUGAAUUUAUCUACCAUCACAUCAGAUAAAUAAUCAUUCAUUUUCAUAAAAUUGCUUUUUUCAAAAUAUUCCCUUCAACCAUGUACAUAACAAAAUAUGGUCAUCUUAGCUUACUAUAUACUAGAUUAUUCUUAAAUAAUAUGUUCUUCGGUCACUAUUAACAUGGUAAUCCGGAUACUUUUUCCCUUAAACAGCGCCUCUACUCUGGUUACUCCCCGCCACGGCUUCUUGCCUCAUUGGUUUCACCUUUAGGAUGGCAUAGUCCUUAGGGAUAUUUCUCCGUUUCCUCUUUGUUAAUAAACUUCUUAACAUAUUAUUCUUCGAAUAAUUCUACUAUAAAGUAACUAAUAUGAAUUAUUUUAUCAUAUCAUGAUUGUUGGGAAUUAUGAAUUUAGCUAUUCAUAAUCAUAAAUAAAUAUACCUGUUCGGGUAGUUUUGAUAUUUCUGAAGUUUGUUCCUCCAUAGCUUUUUCCAUUGAAAUAUGUUUAUUUAAUUAACUGAGUAAAAUAUUUGUUGUGGAGUGGAGAGA